AGUUUAAGGGAAUUAUCUUAAAUGAUUUCUGCCCACUGAUUUUUUUUUUAAAUGGCCGCAGUACCUUGACUGUGCUAAGGUAGCAUAAUCAAUUGGCUUCUAAUUAGAGUCUGGAAUGAAAGGAAGCAUGAAAUAAUUCUGUCUUAAGAGAAAUUUUUUGAACUUAUUUAAAUGAUGAAAAUAUCAUUUUUUAGAAAAAAGACGAGAAGACCCUUAGAGUUUUAACUAAUUUUAGUUUUUGUUGGGGCGACAAGUAAACAAUUAAACUUUAGUAAUUAAUUUGGAAUAUAUCGAUUUUUUUUAAGAGUAAUUAAACUACCUUAGGGAUAACAGCAUUAUUUUUUAAAAUGAUUGUGACCUCGAUGUUGGACUAGGAACUUUAUGGCUAGCCGUCAAAAAAGAUUUGUUCUGUUCGAACAAUUUUAUCCUACGUGAUCUGAGUUCA
rnacentral:rRNA from 1 species